UACGUAGGGUGCAAGCGUUGUCCGGAAUUAUUGGGCGUAAAGAGCUCGUAGGCGGUCUGUUGCGUCGGCUGUGAAAACCCGGGGCUCAACCCCGGGCCUGCAGCCGAUACGGGCAGACUAGAGUUCGGCAGGGGAGACUGGAAUUCCUGGUGUAGCGGUGAAAUGCGCAGAUAUCAGGAGGAACACCGGUGGCGAAGGCGGGUCUCUGGCCCGGUACUGACGCUGAGGUGCGAAAGCGUGGGGAGCAAACAGG
rnacentral:rRNA from 1 species